rnacentral:misc_RNA from 1 species
ACGAGUUUUAAUGGUUAGGUUAGAGUUGAGCUGGUUAAUCUAAUUAAUAUGUGCUUACUCUAAUCGAAACAAGUCCACUCAUUACUUAACACUUGCGAACUUAUUCAUUACAAACAUUAUUAUUUGUUAUUGGAACGUUUGAUUAUUAAAAAGUUAAUA